UACGGAGGAUGCAAGCGUUAUCCGGAUUCAUUGGGUUUAAAGGGUGCGUAGGCGGGCUAUUAAGUCAGUGGUGAAAUCCUGCAGCUUAACUGCAGAACUGCCGUUGAUACUGAUAGUCUUGAGUUUGGUUAAGGUAGGUGGAAUGUGCAGUGUAGCGGUGAAAUGCAUAGAGAUUGCACAGAAGGCCGAUUGCGAAGGCAGCUUACUGAACCAUAACUGACGCUCAUGCACGAAAGCGUGGGGAUCAAA
rnacentral:rRNA from 1 species